AGAAUCAACGCUGGCGGCGUGCCUAACACAUGCAAGUCGCACGAGAAAGGGGAGCAAUCCCUGAGUAAAGUGGCGCACGGGUGAGUAACACGUGAAUAAUCUACCUCCGAGUGGGGAAUAAACUGAGAGAAAUCUUAGCUAAUACCGCAUAACACUUACGAGUCAAAGCAGCAAUGCGCUUGGAGAGGAGUUCGCGGCCGAUUAGUUAGUUGGCGGGUAAUGGCCCACCAAGACGAUGAUCGGUA
rnacentral:rRNA from 1 species